GACGAACGCUGGCGGCGUGCUUAACACAUGCAAGUCGAACGGAAAGGCCCUGCUUUUGUGGGGUGAUCGAGUGGCGAACGCGUGCGUAACACGUGAGUAUCCUGCCCUUGUUUUUCGGGUAACUUAAGGAAACUGGGGCUAAUCCCGGAUCGGAGACGCUGUUGCAGGGAGGGGGUUGGAAAGUUUCGGCGGUCGUGGUUGGACUAGCGGCUUACGAGCUUGUUGGUGGGGUAGGGGCUUACCAAGGAUUUGACGGGUCGCCGGCCUGGGAGGGUGACCGGCGUCCAUGGUACUGAGAGACGGCGCAGACUGCAACAGGAGGCAGCAGUGGGGAGUAUUACACAAUGAUCGGGAGUCUGAGGCGGCAGCGCCGGGUGCGUGAUGACGGCCUUCGGGGUGUGAACCGCUUUCGCCUGUUACGAAGCUGGAGUGACGGUAAUGAAUAAAGAAGCACCGGCUAACUACGUG
rnacentral:rRNA from 1 species